AAGAAAUCCGGGCCUGUCCGGGCGCUCUCUGAGUCCCGGGCCCGUCCCUGUCCCUUCACACACACCGUUGAACCGUCCGGGGAGUUGGCGCGCUGAUUGGGCCUCCUCCCCUGCCCCUUUUCAAAAUCUUAAAGUCAUUGGAUGAAGUCUUGGUGAAUAACCAAAAGAAA
rnacentral:misc_RNA from 1 species